GGGCACAUGGUGUAGUUGGUUAUCACAUCCGCUUAGCACCACAUUGUGAAGUUGCGGAAGGUGCUGGGUUCAAUUCCCAGUGUGUCCA
rnacentral:tRNA from 1 species